AUUGAACGCUGGCGGCAGGCCUAACACAUGCAAGUCGAGCGGGGUUUUCGGACCUAGCAGCGGACGGGUGAGUAAUGCGUAGGAAGCUACCCGAUAGAGGGGGACACCAGUUGGAAACGACUGUUAAUACCGCAUAAUGUCUACGGACCAAAGUGUGGGACCUUCGGGCCACAUGCUAUCGGAUGUGCCUACGUGGGAUUAGCUAGUUGGUGAGGUAAUGGCUCACCAAGGCGACGAUCCCUAGCUGGUUUGAGAGGAUGAUCAGCCACACUGGAACUGAGACACGGUCCAGACUCCUACGGGAGGCAGCAGUGGGGAAUAUUGGACAAUGGGCGCAAGCCUGAUCCAGCCAUGCCGCGUGUGUGAAGAAGGCCUUCGGGUUGUAAAGCACUUUCAGUUGGGAGGAAGCGUUGUGUGUUAAUAGUACACAGUGUUGACGUUACCAACAGAAGAAGCACCGGCUAACUCUGUGCCAGCAGCCGCGGUAAGAC
rnacentral:rRNA from 1 species